rnacentral:rRNA from 1 species
UGGGGAAUAUUGCACAAUGGGGGAAACCCUGAUGCAGCGACGCCGCGUGAACGAAGAAGGUAUUCGUAUCGUAAAGUUCUGUCGUAUGGGAAGAUAAUGACAGUACCAUAGAAGAAAGCUCCGGCUAAAUACGUGCCAGCAGCCGCGGUAAUACGUAUGGAGCGAGCGUUGUCCGGAAUUAUUGGGCGUAAAGGGUACGCAGGCGGUUUAAUAAGUCGAAUGUUAAAGAUCGGGGCUCAACCCCGUAAAGCAUUGGAAACUGAUAAACUUGAGUAGUGGAGAGGAAAGUGGAAUUCCUAGUGUAGUGGUGAAAUACGUAGAUAUUAGGAGGAAUACCAGUAGCGAAGGCGACUUUCUGGACACAAACUGACGCUGAGGUACGAAAGCGUGGGGAGCAAACAGG